CGACACCUAAAAUGGCCGACACGUGAAAAUUGGAUAUCAUUCGACUCGGCAUGACCCACCCAAUCUAAAGAGACCAGUUUUGUUAUUUUUGGCCAAACCAUUCAGAAGUUCUGUGCAAAAAUAUGCAUUUUUCGUAUCUCCUGACCACUAGGGGGCACUGCAGCGAAACACUGCAGGUAGCCUCAGGCUAUGCUUGUUACAACAUACACCAAGUUUGGUCUCAAUACGCUAAACCGUUGCGGAGAUAUAGCCUCAUAACUAUUUUUGCGUGUUUUUUCUUGAAUUCAUUUGCGUGUUAUUCCAGAAAGUUUUGAAUAAUCAACUUGAAUUCCAUAACUUUUUGCCAGCAUGGUCUUAAGAUGAUCUGAGCUCAUUUUGGUGAGAGUCGGACUAACCGUCUAGGAAGAGAUAGAAAAAGUAAUUUUUUCGAAUAUCUAAAAAUAGAAAAAAAACUAAACCUUGCGAUUUUUGAAUUUUGGGGUUCAAUCGACUUGGCAUGAACCAAGGAUUCAGAGAAAAAUAUAAUGUUCCUUAUGUACCUUAUGGUUCAAACGUUAUUAGCAGACAUUUUUUGAAAGUUUGGACAAAUGGUGGCGCUAGAGAGCUGGAGUUAGAGACUUUAAAUUUGCGAUGGUUAAUGUUGACACUGUCCUCUAUGAGUGUGCCAAAUUUCACAACUUUCCCGCAGUCGGUUCUAUGGGCUGCCAUAGACUUGCGGCGGAAGCGGAAGAAUAAUAAUAAUAAAUAUAGCUGCAAGCAGCAAUUACGGGGCCAAGCACUCCAGAGGCAAAUUGAGGAGCUAAGCAUGGCAUGGACCAUCAGACCAAAUGCAGAAAGGAGUAACUGAAGCCAUUUUAGGAUGAUUGUAAUUGAAAUGGCGGAAAAAUCAUAAAUACAAGCACUAGUAUUAUGAUUAAAUGGCUUAUCACUUUUGACCAACAGGUGGCGCUGUAAUCAAAUCAUUUUGGUGUGUUCUGUGUGAGGUGACAAUGGCACACACAAAGUUUGGUGUCAGUAUGCCAAAGCAUUGCAGAGAUACAGGCUGAAGUGUCAUUUUGGCAUCAUGCCUGAAAUUCGUCGCUGUGGUAUGCGAAAACGGUUUUGUCUAUCGAUACAAAAUCCAUAACAUUUUGUCAGCACAGUCUGAAGAUCAUCUGAUUCAAUUUUGGUGAAAAUCGGACCAACGGUUGAUGAGGAGUUCGAAAAAGUAGGUUUUCAACAUGAAUCAAAAUGGCGGACAGGAAGUAUGGCCAAUUUUGGCAUAAUUGGUAUGGAUGUUCGCGGCAUGACCCAAAGAAUAUAGGGAGGCCAUUUUCAUUUCAAUAGUCUAAUUUAUUCAAAAGUUAUUAGCAUUUUUUAGAUAUUUCAUUAUAACUUUUGACCACAAGGUGGCGCUGCCCCCAAACUUUUUGAGUAGCUUCAGGGCAUGGAGCCAAACAUUUUUGUAAUUAUUUUCGUAACGAUACGAUAAUGCGUUCAAAAAAUACAGCAUGUUGAAACAUAAUUCAAAAUGGCCGACACCUAAAAUGGCUGACACGGGAAAAUUGGAUAUCAUUCGACUCGGCAUGACCCACCGAAUACAAAGAGACCAGUUUUGUGAUUUUUGGCAAAACCAUUCAGAAGUUAUAAGCAAAAAUAUGCAUUUUUCAUAUCUCCUGACCACUAGGUGGCGCUGCGUCGAAACACUGCAAGUAGUCUCAGGUCAUGCUUGUUAUAACACACACCAAGUUUGGUCUCAAUACGCCAAACCGUUGUGGAGUUAUAGCCUCACAAGCAUUUUUGCGUGCUUUUCGUAGAAUUUUUUCGCAUGGUAUUCAAAAACGGUUGGACGAAUCAACUUGAAUUCCAUAACUUUUUGUCGUCAUUGUCUGAAGAUGAUCUGAGCCAAUUUUCGUGAAAAACGGACUAACCGUCUAGGACGAGUUCGAAAAAGUAGGUUUUUCAAACAAUUGAAACUAGCGAAAAAACUAAACCUUGCGAUUUUUGAAUUUCGGGGUUCAUUCGACUCGGCAUGAGCCAAGGAUUCAGAGGAAAAAAGAAUUUUCAUUUUCUGGCUUACGGUUCAAAAGUUAUUAGCAUAAAAAUAUUGAAAUUUUGGACAAGUGGUGGCGCUAGAGAGUUGGAGUUAGAGACUUCAAAUUUGCUAUAGUUAAUGCUGGGACUGUCCUCUAUCAGUGUGCCAAAUUAUACAACUUUCCCGCAAUCG
ensembl:lncRNA